rnacentral:lncRNA from 1 species
CGAAAAACAAAUAUGUAACACAUAAACAAACGACAACCACUGAAUUACAGGCUCCUGACUUGGGACAGGCACAUACAUAAAUUAUGUGGCGGGGUUAAACAUGUUAGCGGGAUACCAACCCUCCCCCUAACCUGGGACAGUGGUAUAACAGUACAACAUAAGAACGAACUAUAAAAAUCAGUUGAAAAAGGCUUAACUCAUCAGAUGGACUAAAAUACAAGUGGACGUGG